AGAGAUAAUAUGGUUGGUCUCAAUCAAAGGAGGGGUGUGGUUAAUAAUAGUUGUGGAGUGGAUUGUUACCAACAAGUGGAUCUAUGUAAUUUGGGCCUAGAAGCUCAAAACAAUGGUUCAUUCUUGCAAAAACAAAACUCAAAAUAGGAAUUAUUUUUACAAACAACAAUAUUAUUGGGGCAGCAGCAGAUCUGGCGCGUGGCGCAACAGAUCCGGUCUGUAUAAGGAAAAGCAAAUUUCUGAAGCAAGUUCGAAGUUUUGAGCUAAAUCCACUAUUCACACCAUUGUCAGAGCUGAGAAGCACAAGUUUCAUCACUUUGAAUGAAGAAUUGAUCCAUCAUUAUCAUCAUCAUCAUCAUCAUCAAUCCAUGAAUUAUUGCAUCAUAAUCAUGGAUCUUCUUCACUUUAUGAUGUCUAGCUAAUUACCUCAUAGGUUGGAUCUUGGAAUGAGUUUAUAUAUAUAUUUUUUUAAUCAUACUAACUACACAAAAAGACCACAGCUAAAUGGAAAUUUCUGACAAAUGUCAAUCACACACACAAUCUGCACAAAUCCUAGGUGGAAGAUUUUGAAAAAACUUGCUUCUUUUGGCCAUGAAUUCGAAUUUUCUUCCCCUCCAAUUCAUCACAUCGCUUACUGGGCCAUAAGCAAGAGUCCAGUCCAACAAGGCCCAAAGAAGCCCGGUCCGGAUUGAACAAAAGAAUAAAAAAAACGCAUGCGUUGAAAAGUGGACAGUGGAACAGCAUCGAGAAGUCCUUUUCAUUGAACAAUUCCGCAGAACUCAUCUUCUUCUUUUGGCUAUGAAUUUUGAAACCAUUUUCAAAUCCAAAAAGUUUCAGCAUCUUAUCGAUGCAACAUCUACUUCUCCCUCUGUCAUCGCAAGAGAAAUUCCAUUUUUAUCCCUUCACUCUCUUCAAAUCCUCCUCUAAUUUGAGAAAAUUUUCACAUGUCUUUAGAUGAAGAAAAACCCAAUUUUGAAGAAUACCCAUUUUAAUGAUUCAUUAUCUGUUGAUUUUGCAGGUUUGGUCAAUACACAUGCAGAUUGGAUUUCCCUCCAAAGGGAUAAGAUUAUAUCAAGAGGUUUACAAAUUAGGGUAGUUUUAUUGCAGAAUUAAUCAGAGAGAAAACUAUGCAUAUAGCAAUACUAUGCCUCUUGAUUGUAAUUUUAUUUACAAGUGAAAUAAUUUGAGUGGGUUGUGCUUUACAGGUAGUGUACAUCUUCAGGGUUCACAAACCCAACGACGACAAUGUUAUUGUUUGAUUCUGGGAAACUUGGCAGCUGCAUUGGUAGAAAUUUGCUCGAGGUCCUAAUUUUGAGGGAUUGCAUGCUUCUCAAAGAAUUGCCAAUGUCUUAAUUUGUAAAUGAGGAUUUGGUAAUGAUUUUGGUGGUUCUUAAAUGGGUAACACAUGGCACACCUUCAAGUUCAAGCUGCCAGAGGCACCAAAUUCAAAGUGGAGACUUCCAUAUUUGAUUUAUCCGAUCAAAUAUUUUAAAUUCUAUUUUUUUAAAUAUGGUAUAGUGGACAGUGUAAUGCAAUGCAAUGGGGGUUACAAAAUAGAUGAUUAUUUCAUAGGCGAAGGUUUAUAAAGGAAGAUCCUGCCAAUAUUCCAAAGAGGCAUAUUAGAUUUUUUAGUUACUUCAAAGUCUCCUAAUUUAAGAACUCUUGCUUCAAUAGUUUAUGUGUGUACUCUUUGAUUUCACAAUGUUGUAUUGCGAGGUUCAACGGUUGUUGAUGUCUUUCAAGAUCUAUUGGUUAAAGUGUGUACACGCCGAAGGGAAAUAUGAGAGUAGCUUUCAAUAUCAAGCUUGAAAUUUAUUAUUUAGUUCAUCUCGACAACGGGACUGCGACCUUAAAGAGUGAUUUUAGGUAACACAUGAAGCAUGAGAUUAAAUAGAUAAGGACUUUAUAUCCGAUACCAAGUAAUUAGUGCACAUAAUGUGCCAUAUACAAGCAGAAAAGCUCGACACGAGCUUGAUAUUGUACCAGUUCUCCAACUACAAGGAAACUCUAGAGUUUGUGGAAGAUUAGCUAAAGCCUGAGUGCAACUAGGAUAGACACAAUUUCUAUUGUAUAUUCAUGAUAUAUUUAUCUCAAUUUCUAUUGUAUCGUAUACUAUUAAAGUAUGUACACUGCAUUUUUUAUUUGUAUAUUGUCUCAACUUAUAUAUUAAUUAAAUAGAGAUUAAGCACA